AAUACUUCGGUUCACAUUAAAAAACACAUGAAAAAUUUAUACAAAAAGUGACAAAAUGUGAGAGUUUGAGUUAAAUUGUGAGGAAUGAAAAUCCAAUUGUAUGUCAUGUGUUGGUGUUGCAUGAAAAUACAGUAAGGUUCUUUAAGAGAUAAACCAUGGAAGCAAAAAAUAAAUGAGCUUCAAGAUAGCAAGAUAGAGUGAGUUCUAUUUAAUGAAAAGUUGGCUGUUAGAAAGCUUUUAUGGCCGCCUAUUUCCCAUUUUGUUAUCAACCGUAGAAUUUGUACUAGACCCGAUUACGUAGGUCAUAGAUUCACCUAUAUAUUCUAGACUCAAACACAGAAAAAGCUCGUGGAGAUGCCGUUCAAUCCAACCGAUAAUUUAUUAGAAACUUAUCAGUUCCACGGCGGCGGCGGUACUGUCGUGGAGGAGAUCGGAAAAUUAAUCGCGGUUUUCCACUGUGAAAACAGUGAUCAUGAUCCACGGUUCCACUGGGAACCAGAUCAAGCUUUCAUUUGAAGAAGGUGGAGUUGAUUCGAUCAAAUUGGAGCAAUGACGGUAAAAAACGGUGGAUCUUCCAGAUUCAGAUCUGGAGCCAGCAGGUUAUGAUCGGUAACUGAAUUUGAUUCAAUUAGAUCUGGAUCCACCAGAUCUCGGUGACAAGCUCCAUCGUGAUGUGCAAUGUCUCGCGGUUUUGACAACUCUCUGUUGGAGUUCACCUUUGUUUAUGAUGAUUCAAGGUGGUGGCGUCUUUGUUUACAUGGUUAUGGUGAACCUCAAUUAUGAAGAUGUGAAAGUUGACAGUUGGGAGAAAUAGUGAAUAUCUCCACGUGAUUCCUUUUUGAUUGAACUGUAUUGGAGAUGUACUUCUGAAUGGCAUUCUCAAUUAGUUUGCCAUCCGAAUCCCGAGAUGCUAAUAUACAGCCAGUUGGAUUUGCCUCGGGGUUUUGAUCAAGUGGCACAUGUAAUGCCAACGGGUUGCGUGUUGAUGCAUUUACUUUGUUUUUGUAACGAUUUAUUUUAAAAGAACGCUUUUUGUUAUAUGGCAUAUGACAAAAUUUGUAUUUUGAUUAUGACAGUCUUCAAAUAGAUUAUUACUUGAUGGGUUGGAAUAUCAUUUUUUGAGAUUCUAAAUGCUGAAAUUGAGAAACUUGGUCGAGAGCUCUUCAACUCGAAAUUAGUCAUCCGCCAUAUAACAAAAUGUGUUCUUUUAAAAUCGUUAAAAAAAAAAAAAAGAGUAUGUCCAUCAACACACUAACCAUUGUCCAUUGACAUGUGGCACUUCAUCAUACCCCGAGGCAUGUGCAAUGGAUGUAUAUCUUGAAAGCUUGGUUUUGACAUGUUGAAAGUGUUGCCGGUGGAAUAAAUUAUCCAUAAAUACUUCUGAGGACUUUUGUGAUGGAGUUCAGGUCAAACUCAAAGCCAAUCUAUACUCGAGGGCGAAACCUGGGGAUGUAAAUGUAAGAUCAGGAGCUAGGCUUGGGUUUCGUGUAUUGAUAGUGCAUUAUCGUUGUUGAUGUGUAUAAUAAUUGUAUUCACCAAAUGCUGAAUUAUAACACUCUCCAUGAAUAUGAUGUUUUUCUUUGUAAAGAUUAACUGUUGUAGUUAAUGAAUUCCUAUCAAUUUGCAUUUUACUUUUGAUUUGUUGACA